ensembl:lncRNA
UUCUUCAGUAUAAAGAGCACAUCUGUGUCAGUUUGCAGCACAGUUCUCUUCAGCCGCUGAUGACUAGGACAGAAGGAUUCACUUUGGAUCUUUAUUUCUUCAAGACUUUUUCUUGAUGUAUAUUCAGUGUGAUUACAUGAACAUUUCUCUUCUUCUCACAGUGUAGAAAGGAGAAAACUGUUGGAGCGUCAGAAACCACAGACGAGCAAAAACCAGCAGAACAGAGAGAAUAAUGGACACAAACUGCUGGAGAGAAAAGCAGACAGAGACUUGUUAGAUGAACAGUAUGGAGAAAACAAAUCCAUUGUAUCCUCAUUCAUGUCUCCACUUCCUAGUUGGAUUACCGUCUUCCGUGUUCGUGUGCUGGAUUGUGUUCGUGUUGUCGUCUUCGUGUCAGUGUUCCGGUCUGUUCCUGGUUUCAUCCAUUGACCGUCUUCACCUUCACCAUCGACUUCACCAUCCAGCUCUUCUCACGCCACCGUAGACCUUCGUUUCCAUUGCCUACAUUCUGGACUCUGAUAUCAAUAAACUUCUUCUGAUUGCCUGCAAUUGCUUCCUCCUCUUUUACAAGCCGUCACAGUAGGAUCUGACCAUCAUGGAAGCAGCAGGCGAUCGCUCCCCAUCUCAUCUGGAGGAGUUUCUGCAGAGAGCCGUUGGUCGUAUGGAUCGUCAAGACAAGGCGAUAGAUGAGAUGGGUCGAGCUUUCCAAGCAAUGGUGACGAAGGUGUCCGAGCUCGCUCUCCAGGCUCAACGACAACAACAACCGCCACCCGCUGCGCCUCCCACGCCACCCACACCGCCGAUCGUCUCCGGAGGGAUUUCCCAGUCCGAACCACGCCUCCCCAUCCCUGAGAAAUAUGCGGGUGAGCCAAAGUUUUGUCGAUCAUUUCUGUCUCAUUGUUCUCUGCACUUCGCCCUGCAGCCCCGCACGUUUAACACCGAGGAAAUGAAGGUGGCAUUCGUCUUGUCACUACUGACGGGGAGGGCUGCCCUCUGGGGGACGGCGGUGUGGGAGAACCAAGAC